rnacentral:rRNA from 1 species
GACAGAGGAUGCAAGCGUUAUCCGGAAUGAUUGGGCGUAAAGCAUCUGUAGGUGGCUUUUUAAGUCCGCGGUCAAAUCCCAGGGCUCAACCCUGGACAAGCGGUGGAAACUACCAAGCUGGAGUACGGUAGGGGUAGAGGGAAUUUCCGGUGGAGCGGUGAAAUGCAUUGAGAUCGGAAAGAACACCAACGGCGAAAGCACUCUGCUGGGCCGACACUGACACGGAGAGACGAAAGCUAAGGGAGCAAAUGGG